rnacentral:rRNA from 1 species
AACGAACGCUGGCGGCAGGCUUAACACAUGCAAGUCGAACGCCCCGCAAGGGGAGUGGCAGACGGGUGAGUAACGCGUGGGAAUCUACCGUGCCCUACGGAACAACAGUUGGAAACGACUGCUAAUACCGUAUACGCCCUACGGGGGAAAGAUGUAUCGGGGUAAGAUGAGCCCGCGUUGGAUUAGCUAGUUGGUGGGGUAAAGGUCUACCAAGGCGACGAUGCAUAGCUGGUCUGAGAGGAUGAUCAGCCACAUUGGGACUGAGACACGGCCCAAACUCGUACGGGAGGCAGCAGUGGGGAAUUUUGGACAAUGGGCGCAAGCCUGAUCCAGCCAUGCCGCGUGAGUGAUGAAGGUCUUAGGAUUGUAAAGCUCUUUCACCGACGAAGAUAAUGACGGUAGUCGGAGAAGAAGCCCCGGCUAACUUCGUGCCAGCCGCCGCCGUAAAAC